GACUGCUGCUGGGUGAAGAAGAGACUAGACUUGAUCAUUGAGCAGCCACUCACUGAUAUCUUCAGUGCUGCAUGAGGAAGCAGAGUUUAUUCUUCUGGAUUUGGUGGUGGAUUCUGGUGAAGAUACAGAUGGAUGCUCUGGCUGAGUCGCUACCUUGAAAUGAAAAUGGGAGGACUGGCCCCUGGGAUUUUCUGCUCAGGACCCGAGUUCACUGAGACAUCAGGAGCAAGCACUGGAGGCCGGUGCUGCUGGACCCAGAUGGGCGCCAUGCAGGACUUGACCAUGGCCUGCACACACUUCUUCCCAGGAGAAGGGGAAUGAGGAAAGUGGGGGGCCUCAAAGCUUCCUUUCCUUUCUGUUUGUCUUGCUAUGUUUUUAUAUUCCUUUUUAUCCAUUUAAUUAUUUAGUACAAAAUCAGGUCCAGUCUCCUUAGAUAUGGCAUUGAUAUAAAGUGUAAAAUGGAAGCUAAAUUCUAGGAGUACAGCAUUGCAUGCUUCUGACAGAGACAAGGAAGGCUAGAAUCACACAGUUAGUGGACACUGCAACUAUAUUGACAUUUUUUUUUUUUUAGACUGUGAAGGUGGGGACAGAUUGCUGCACUCAGAACACCUUCCCUGCUCUGGGGAAACAAACACUGUCAUCAUGGGGAAAAUGUUUCCUGUAGACCCACACAAGCACACACCCCUCCUCCUACAUCCAGCUUCUCCUCAGCCAUUUUGAAGCAGGGAAGAUCAGGGGGAUUCAUGAAUGGCGAAAUUUGGCCUUUUUUAGUGUAUUUCUCUCCUUCUGUAGGCAGACUGGCAUCACCUGACCCUUCAGAGUAUUAACUCAGACCCUGGUGACUGAGGUCCAGUACCAAGUGCUCAGCUGGGCUGCGGUGCAGGGACAGGAAGCAGAAGGGCAGAUUCAACCCCCCUCAGCUGGCCAUGCUAAUCUACUAGCUGGUGUCCUAGGGCAGCAAGGCGCCUCCCUCUCCAGGAUCUGAUGAGAAAACACUGCAGUUCCAGUUUCUUUCGGGGCUUGAAGAGAAGUCAAGGAAGCCCUGCAAGGCACUCACAGCUGAUCAUGCUUUCUGUAAUCGCCCUCCAUCUUCCUUCAUUGCUAGGAAUCAUUGGAAGGACAACAGCGGAGCUGUGAGUUUUGAAACCGCGUCCUCAUGGGGGCAGUAGAGGUCCACACAAGAGCUUAACUGGCCCCUGGGAUUUGCUGCUCAGAACCUGAGUUCACUGAGACAUCAGGAGCAAGUACUGGAGGCCGGUGCUGCUGGACCCAGAUGGGAGCCAUGCGGGACUUGACCAUGGCCUGCACACACUUCUUCCCAGGAGAAGGGGAGUGAGGAAGAACCGGCCCCUGGGAUUUGCUGCUCAGGACCCGAGUUCACUGAGACAUCAGGAGCAAGCACUGGAGGCCGGGUGCUGCUGGACCCAGAUGGGAGCCAUGCAGGACUUGACCAUGGCCUGCACACACUUCUUCCCAGGAGAAGGGGAAUGAGGAAGAAAGGCUCAUGGCGUCUAUGUCGUAAAUGAGCUGUGGAUUUGCUAUGCCCCUUCUCUUCAGCAACCCUUAUUUUUCUUGCCUGUACAUCUCUACUGUGGGAAUCACAGGGAAGCUGCUGCAGCACAACUUGAAAUAGAAAGCUGGAUGGUAUGAAUUUAGGACAAGAACAUGAGAAGAAGGGCUCCAGAGAGGAUUCAUUAAGAGCAUUUUCUGCUCUUCCAGAAGCAUCCGAGUUUGGUGUGGGCACCCAAGUCAUUAGGCUCAGAGCUGCUUGGCACCAGGAGAUGUCAGGAAGCUGGUAUAAAUCCUCAUGGGACUUGAAGGGCGAGUGGCCUGAAGUGGGUCACAAGUGAUCAGGGAUUCUCAAACUGCUGUUCCCAGCUUGCAUUUAAAAAUGGGAAAUAACUCAAAAGACAAUUGCAAACUCUCUGCAGUCAAGAUGGCUCCUGCUUGUAAUCUCAGUGUUCAGAAGGUAGGAAAGGACUACUGUGAGCACCAGGUCAGCCUGGACUAGAGAGAAGACUUUGUGUCAAAGAACGAAGUUUUAUAAAGGGCAGUCUUGUGGGGUAGAGGCAUGGCAGUAUACGAAGCACGUGUGCGUGUUUCUGUGUGUUUCUUGCUCUUGUCCAUGCUAGAAGCAGAACUUCAUUGUACCGUCACUGCUCCCACAGUACUAUACCUGCUGGAUCCAGAACUGCGGCAGGGUAAGACCAGCCAGGACAAGCCAGUGCCAGGUGGCACAGGUGUUUGGAAAAGGCCUGACGUGUACCCAACUGUGUGAAGGAAUGGGGGACCCAAAACACAGGGCAAAGAAUUAUGCUUCCAUCCACGAGAGCAAAGGUCUGGAUCCCCUAGGGUUGCCACCAGGAUCACCAGAAAGUUUGUUAAAUAGAGAAGCACUUGAUAGAAGGCACCUGGAUAAGGAUGGACAGAAAUCAGAGGCCUUGGCUAUCUGGAUUCUGACUUCUUCAAAAAGAUGAGAUGAUAGAUGAGAAAAGCCCGUCCGUGGUGUUAGAGACUUUGGCCCCACACCCAUGCCGUGCAGCUCUGCCAGGGCCUACCUGCUUGACUCAACCCUUUUUGUUCCCUCACCCUCUCUGGGUAACUGAGAGAUUUAUACCUUGGCUAUCCUGGGAAUGUCUUUCUAAACUAAUAAAAUUGUUCUUGAGUUUCCUUCUGAGUCAUUUCGUAAAUUAUUGUAUUAAUGAGACUAAGAACCUUUAGAAGGGCUCCCAGUUUCCCUGGCAGCAUGUGAUGUUCAAGAUGGGCUCCCCAAAUUUCUCAGAAGAGAAAGACAUGUACAAGAACAGUCCAAAAAGUGAGCAGUUUCUUCUUUUUUAGACAUUUCAGUUUAUGUGUGUGCAUUUAUGUGUGUGUAUGUGUCCACAGCAGACAGAAGAAAACUUUAUUGGCUUCCCUUGAGCUGGAGUUAACUGGGCUCUGUGAGCCACCUGAAAUGGCUACUGAGCUAUAUCAAGUCCCCAUUAUUAGUUGUGUUAUAAGUGGUUUUGGUGCUGCUUUUCUUCGUGAUUAGCGCACGGGGUGGUCCUGGGUAGUUUUCUGUCAACUUGGCAUAAGCUGGAGUCAUCUGAGAGGAAGAAGCCUCAAUGAAGAAAAUGUCUCUUUAAGAUCCAGUGGUAGGCAAGCCUGAGGAAAAUUUCCUUAGUGAUUGAUUGGGAGAAUACCCAGCCCAUUGUGAGGUGUGGCCAUCCCUAGGCUGGUGGUCCUGGGUUGUGUAAGAAAGUCCAGUAAGCAGCACUCCUCCUGCCCUAUGCAUGGG
rnacentral:lncRNA from 1 species